GGCCUGCAGGCCUUCCCCAGGACUCUGCCUUCAAAAACCCUUGCUUUUUUUUGUAAGCCCCCGGGGCGUUGAGGACCUUGAGCUAGAGUCCCCUGUCCUCCCUGCUGGGAGCCCUGCAGGAACGCCCCUUUUCUUUCACUGCCCCGGUGUCAAGUGUUUGGCUUUGCAAGGCACCGGGUGAGAGGACCCAGAUGGAUAGGGCUUUGUUUUUAAAUUAAUAAACAUAUUGACGUGAAUAUCCAGGCCUUAUGGCUGUGGCUAAAUCCUUGGAGUUUCUAAUAAUGCAAUAAUCCAGUUGAUGAGAAAAACACCACCAGAGGGAACAUCUGGGGCAAAGAGAAAAACAAGGCGGGCAAGGAGACAUGCAAAAGAAACCCGUCCUUGGCACAGGAUACUCUGCUUCCCGGCGAGAGAACUUCCCGAGGCGCAGACAGAACAGUUUCUGGAAGAAAAUUAGAAUCAUUGAAAACCCCGCCAUCCAGAGGCUGACCACAAACUUCCUUCCCUUCUCCUUUUGGAAGCCCUCCAGCAUUGGCAAGGUCAUGGUGAAGAAGAGCUGGUGCCUCUCCCACAGAGGUCAUGAGCCCAGAAUCUACUGGAAGGAAUUCCUCACACCCAAGGAAAGACCAGAGGAGUCAAGCUCCCGCGAGGGGUGGGCUGCCCGAAGGAAAGGAUGGCAUUGGCGAGUGAGGAGACAAGACACAGAGUCAGACUGGAAGCAUCUCCUAGCAAGCAUGCUAGCAGUGUUUUAUUUAUAUGAUAUCCAUUCCAGACAUUUGUUCUUUGAUCAGUGAGGUUACAAUCUUUUUUCCUUUCUGUUUCUAACUUAUUCCUGCUCACUACCUUUAAUUACGGGCAGAUAUCAUCAUUUCCUGCUACAUGCAGCUUUUCAUGUUUUAUUUCUUCCUUAUCAUGACUAAUUCUUAUGCAAAGCAGAUGCCAUAAAACAGUGCAUGAAAGGUGCUAGACAGAGUGUGGUUUAUUUUUUGACCACAAAGCAGCCAUUUUCACAUUUACAAUUAUCCUUCUUGUGCCUGGACUUUGUCAAACAGCCUGAGUAGCAUGGCUCCUACCACUGUUUUAUGCAUUUGUAUCUCAGAUCAUAUAGAAAAAAUAGAUAAAAAUUAAAAAUAUGACAAUACUUAAUUUUACAUGUAUCUUUUCUGAUCAUUUUUAUUUAGUCAUAUGGUUUUGAGUCACUGUCAAGAGGCCUUUCAUUUCAGCCUGAAGGGCUUCCAUAAGCAUUUCUUGUGAAAUAGCAGGUCUAGCAGCAAUGACCUCCCUCAGCUUCUGUUUACCUGGGGAGUCUUCAUUUCUUCAUUUUUGGAGGAUAGUUUUGUUAGAUACAGAAUUCUUGGUGGAUGAUUUAUUUUUCUUUGAUACUUUGAAUAUGCCAUCCCACUGUUUUCUGCAUUCCAUGGUUUCUGAUUGUAAAGGAGUGCAGAGAGCAUCAAGAGUCAGGAAAAAGAACUAAUAAAACUUAGCUAAACUUU